AAGCUCCGAAUUAUAUAUAUGGAAUUUAUAUUGUCUUUAUCACAACUAUUCCUAGUACGUACAAGUGAUAUUCUUCUUUUGGAUUUUCUCUGGGAUAUUCUUUUGGAUUUUCUCUAGGAUAUCAUCGAUCUCUUUAUCAUUCAAUGUGGUUUUUCUUCUCGGAAAUUUAGUAUAGCUUCACAUCUUAGAUUCUAUUAUCUCGGUUUUCUUAUUAUUCUUAUGGUCUAAUCUUAUUUAUUAACCAUGGUUCAUCC
rnacentral:lncRNA from 1 species